UACGAGGGGAGCAAGCGUUGUUCGGAUUUACUGGGCGUAAAGGGCGCGUAGGCGGCCACUACAAGUCACUUGUGAAAUCUCCGGGCUUAACUCGGUAGCGGUCAAGUGAUACUGUUGGGCUAGAGUGCGGAAGGGGCAACUGGAAUUCUCGGUGUAGCGGUGAAAUGCGUAGAUAUCGAGAGGAACACCUGCGGCGAAGGCGGGUUGCUGGGCCGACACUGACGCUGAGGCGCGAAAGCUAGGGGAGCGAACGGG
rnacentral:rRNA from 1 species